UAAUACGUAGGGGGCAAGCGUUGUCCGGAUUUAUUGGGCGUAAAGAGCGUGUAGGCGGCCAGACAGGUCCGUUGUGAAAACUAGAGGCUUAACCUCUAGACGUCGAUGGAAACCGUCUGGCUAGAGUCCGGAAGAGGAGAAUGGAAUUCCUGGUGUAGCGGUGAAAUGCGCAGAUAUCAGGAAGAACACCCGUGGCUAAGGCGGUUCUCUAGUACGGUACUGACGCUGAGACGCGAAAGCGUGGGGAGCGAACAGGAUUAGAUACCCUGGUAGUCCACGCCGUAAACGAUGGGUGCUAGGUGUGGGGGGUGUCGACUCCCUCCGUGCCGAAGCUAACGCAUUAAGCACCCCGCCUGGGGAGUACGGCCGCAAGGCUA
rnacentral:rRNA from 1 species